rnacentral:rRNA from 1 species
CGGGGGCCCGCACAAGCGGUGGAGCAUGUGGUUUAAUUCGAUGCAACGCGAAGAACCUUACCUGGUCUUGACAUCCACGGAAGUUUUCAGAGAUGAGAAUGUGCCUUCCGGAACCGUGAGACAGGUG